GUAACAAAUCUUUUACCCCCAAGAACUCUAUCAUAAGGCCACAUUUAACUAAUACAUCAAUUACCAUUAACAAGAAUCAUAAAUGGAUCUAAUUUGAAAAUAUGUUACCAAAUCCAAUCAAUAGAGAUAGCAUGGAAAUCUACAAAAAAUAAUACAGCCUUCGGCAACUUUGGCAGAAAGGUCUUGAACCUUUGUAUAUGCCUCUAAGUGUGCUGCUCCAAGAUGUUUUAGGGGUUCCUCUGCAGCACCCCAAGUUUGUCUUUCCCCUAGAGGUUCUCUUUUCGAAGAUUCUAAUUUUUCGUAAAGCUCUCUGACAGCAUUAUUGGACGCCAGAUGGUGUAGCUCCAUAGCUUUAUUUUGAUUUCAAGCUCGCCAGAAUCAAGAAUGCAUUUCCAUAUCUACAAAGUUAGACUUCAAAUAUUCAUUGUGGAAACUAAAUUGUACUGCAGUCUCUUGAAGUUGAUCAUGGCCAUAAUUAGUAUCUUUAUUUCCAUCAUGUAAUCCAUUUUCCUUGAUAAGAUACCUACCACUCCUGUCUUCUAUAUUAUACAGAUCAUUAUCCUCUUCUACGCGAUUAGUUGGUGUUUGACCACUAUAAAACCCCUCUUAAGACAUUGUGGUAAAGUUUUACCAAAAAGCUGAAAAUUAAUAAACGACAUGAUCAGUAAAGGAUAAACAUAAGCUAGAAUUAAUAAGAUACCACAUUGACAUUAACCCUGAAAUAAAGUGAUAGCAUCAAUAUUAUAUAGUACUUUCCCACAUUUACUUUGACGUGGGGGAAUCCUCUAUUUCAUUUUAUUUCAAUUUUGAGGCAGUUAAAUUCGAUGAAGCCAUCAUUUACAUCAAUUGAAGAAAAAAUUAGAACUAACUUGAACAAUAAAGAGGCAAAUAUAUUCAAAAUUGGUAAUAAAUCAUUUUAUAGUUAACCUAUAUUGGUUGUUAGACUCGUUUUUCUUGAGUUAAAGUGCUUUCUAUCCUUUGUCUACUUGAAAGCGUAGGAAAGGGCUUGAGUUACUAAUCCGAUAGAUAGAUGAAUCAAUGAAUUGAACCACAAGGCAAAUCUGAAGUUCGCUGAAACAUGAGCUCAAUACGUAAUUACAGCACAAUAGUUCAAAAUGAAAAAUAAUCAAUACCACGAAGUUGGUACAGUUGAAAUAAAAACAAAACAUAAAUUUAAAAUUCUUCACAAAAAAAGGAGCGGUAACAUUUCAACUACAACACCAGAACAGCACACAAUUAAAUUUAAACUAUUUGGUUCUGACUAAUGUCAUAGUGGAAAACAUAAAGGAAAGCAAUGAAUAAUAAAAAAGGGGGAAAAAAAUAAGAAAGAGCAAGGGAUCACAUGAAAGACUACAAUAUCACAUUUGAUUGCGUUUGGCAAAAAAAUGUGUUUUGUGGUUUUCUAGGUUAUACAUUAUGAGAG
rnacentral:lncRNA from 1 species